rnacentral:rRNA from 1 species
AGGACGGAACGCUGGCGGCGUGCUUAACACAUGCAAGUCGAGCGGAAAGGCCCUUCGGGGUACUCGAGCGGCGAACGGGUGAGUAACACGUGAGCAAUCUGCCCUUAGCUUCGGGAUAGCCCCGGGAAACCGGGAUUAAUACCGAAUACGACCUCAGCCGACAUCGGCUCUGGUGGAAAGUUUUUCGGCUAGGGAUGAACUCGCGGCCUAUCAGCUUGUUAGUGGGGUAAUGGCCUACCAAGGCGACGACGGGUA